AAACGUGACUGGGUCCAUGGAAGUAGGACUGAAUUGUUUCAGGAGAGCAGUGUCUUUAGCAGUGGCUAACCUACACAGAAACAUCAACAGUUGCAGUUCUUUAGAUUGGGGAACUUGCUAAUUGAGUUAGUAAUUCUCCUGUAUAUUGUGAAGCUGAC